UACGUAGGGUGCGAGCGUUGUCCGGAAUUACUGGGCGUAAAGAGCUUGUAGGUGGUUUGUCGCGUUGUUCGUGAAAUCUCACGGCUUAACUGUGAGCGUGCGGGCGAUACGGGCAGACUAGAGUGACGUAGGGGAGACUGGAAUUCCUGGUGUAGCGGUGAAAUGCGCAGAUAUCAGGAGGAACACCGGUGGCGAAGGCGGGUCUCUGGGCGAUACUGACGCUGAGGAGCGAAAGCGUGGGGAGCGAACAGGAUUAGAACGUAC
rnacentral:rRNA from 1 species